UGAUCAUUAUUACCAUCUGAUUGGCUGUUGAAAUGCUCAAGAAAUUCUGAAAUUUUCUCUUCAAACGUUUGUUCAUCAACAUCCUUAAUCGAAGAAUCAAUAUUAAUGGCUUCUUGGGCUUGACAUAACACUCAAAGUCCAUUCUCAGGAAUUUCAGCAAAUUGAAGGGCAACAGAUAUAUUAUUACUGUCUUGAAUUGAAAAUUCCAUAUCUUCAGCAACUCUUGAGAAGCACCCCUGCCAUCCAUUCCUGCAGCUUCACCAUCACAACCACUGGUUUCCUUGCCCUUAUCCUCCAUUAUAUUUGUUAUCCAAUAUUGCAAUUCUUCAAGAAUAGCAAUCUUGGUCUCCUUUGUAGACUGCCUUAUUUCUUCCCUCCAUUCUUUAAGUUCUCCCCAGAAUUCCUCAGUAGUUGUCUUUGAAUCUUCUUGAAGAAUCUUUACUUGUUCCUCCAAUUCUGCUAAACUCGCUGACUCCUGAGUCCCGACUAACAACAAGCCUGGCCAUAACUGCGACUCCAAGGAACCAGAUUAG
rnacentral:misc_RNA from 1 species